rnacentral:rRNA from 1 species
AUUGAACGCUGGCGGCAUGCUUUACACAUGCAAGUCGAACGGCAGCGCGGGCUUCGGCCUGGCGGCGAGUGGCGAACGGGUGAGUAAUACAUCGGAACGUGCCCAGUAGUGGGGGAUAGCUCGGCGAAAGCCGGAUUAAUACCGCAUACGACCUGAGGGUGAAAGCGGGGGAUCUUCGGGCCUCGCGCUAUUGGAGCGGCCGAUGGCAGAUUAGCUAGUUGGUGGGGUAAAGGCCUACCAAGGCGACGAUCUGUAGCUGGUCUGAGAGGACGACCAGCCACACUGGGACUGAGACACGGCCCAGUCUCCUACGGGAGGCAGCAGUGGGGAAUUUUGGACAAUGGGCGAAAGCCUGAUCCAGCAAUGCCGCGUGUGUGAUGAAGGCCUUCGGGUUGUAAAGCACUUUUGGCGGGAACGAAAAGGACUGUGCCAAUACCACGGUUCGAUGACGGUACCCGCAGAAUAAGCACCGGCUAACUACGUG